UUGGGAUCAGGAUUUGGAUCAGGAUUUGGAUCAGGAUCGGGAAGGGAAUUUGGAUUGGGAUCAGGAUCGGGAACGCUCCACAUCCACGGAAAAGCAGGAAGAGGAGGAAGGAGGAAUUCCCAAAGUUUGGGAUGGGGAACGCAACAUCCGGGACCUCGGAGCUGCCGGAGCGGCUUUGGGGGAAUUCCCACUUAAAAACGGGGAAAAAAUGGGAAAAAUCCCUUUGGGGUUGUUUUUCCCGGGAAUCCGAAGCGCCGGGAAAGGGAAAUUCCCGGGAAUUCGCGAAGAUCCCGAGGUUUUCCAAGGAAAAUUCCAGNNNNNNNNNNNNNNNNNNNNAGAUUUAAGAUUUCUCCUCAAGAUUUGGAAUCUUUUGAAGGAUUCUUGGGAAGAAUUCAGGAAUUUUUUUGGGAUUUGAGAUUUUUUCUGGGAAUUUUUUCCUCGCGAUUUACGAUUUCUCCUCAAGAUCUAAAAUUUUCCCAGGAUUUUUUUUGGGGGGAAAAAAAUCCAAGAUUUUUUUUUUCCCAUUUCCAGGUGUUUUGGGUUUUUUUUUCCCCGUUAAAUCUCAUUUCCAAUUCCCGAUUUUCCUUCGCUGUUCCCGCAGGAUUUAUCCCGGUGCUGGAGCGAUCCCGAGCCCAAAUCCCGGGAAUUUUUUCCCGCUUCAGCCUCCUGAGGCUCCGGCGCUCCUCGGCUCUGGGAGGGGCUCGGCUGGGAGCCGGGAAUUUGGGAAUGGAGCUGCCGCUGGAUCGGGAGGGGAACGUCGAGGUGUUCUACACUCAUCGCUUCUGAGAGCCGGAAAAACCGGGAAUGGGCUCGGAAAAUCGGGAAUGGGCACCAAAAACUGGGAAUGGGCUCGGAAAAUCGGGAAUGGGGCUUGGAAAAUCGGGAAUGGAGACCAAAAACUGGGAAUGGGGACCAAAAACUGGGAAUGGGAACUGGAAAAUCGGGAAUGUCGAAGUGUUCUACACACAGCGGUUCUGAGAGCCAGAAAAACCGGGAAUGGGCUCGGAAAACCGGGAAUGGGCACUGAAAAAC
rnacentral:lncRNA from 1 species